GAUGAACGCUAGCGGCAGGCCUAAUACAUGCAAGUCGAACGGUGUAGCAAUACACAGUGGCGCACGGGUGCGUAACACGUAUGCAACCUACCUAUUAUUGGGGGAUAGCCUUUGGAAACGGAGAUUAAUACCGCAUAAGACAGUGACAUGGCAUCAUGUAGCUGUUAAAGCUUCGGCGAUAAUAGAUGGGCAUGCGUCCAAUUAGUUAGUUGGUGAGGUAAUGGCUCACCAAGACGAUGAUUGGUAGGGGAUCUGAGAGGAUAAUCCCCCACACUGGCACUGAGAUACGGGCCAGACUCCUACGGGAGGCAGCAGUAGGGAAUAUUGGGCAAUGGGCGGAAGCCUGACCCAGCCAUGCCGCGUGCAGGAUGACGGCGUUAUGCGUUGUAAACUGCUUUUUUAUAGGAAGAAGAAGCCCUUGCGAGGGAAAGUGACGGUACUAUAAGAAUAAGCACCGGCUAACUCCGUGCCAGCCGCCGCCGUAAGAC
rnacentral:rRNA from 1 species